CCGCUCACUUUGGAAGCACAUACACUAAAAUUGGAAGACUACGGAGAAGAUUAGCAUGGCCCCUGUGCAAGGAUGAUACGCAAAUUCAUGAAGCGCUCCAUAUUUUU
rnacentral:snRNA from 1 species